rnacentral:rRNA from 1 species
AGUCGAACGAACUCUGGUAUUGAUUGGUGCUUGCAUCAUGAUUUACAUUUGAGUGAGUGGCGAACUGGUGAGUAACACGUGGGAAACCUGCCCAGAAGCGGGGGAUAACACCUGGAAACAGAUGCUAAUACCGCAUAACAACUUGGACCGCAUGGUCCGAGUUUGAAAGAUGGCUUCGGCUAUCACUUUUGGAUGGUCCCGCGGCGUAUUAGCUAGAUGGUGGGGUAACGGCUCACCAUGGCAAUGAUACGUAGCCGACCUGAGAGGGUAAUCGGCCACAUUGGGACUGAGACACGGCCCAAACUCCUACGGGAGGCAGCAGUAGGGAAUCUUCCACAAUGGACGAAAGUCUGAUGGAGCAACGCCGCGUGAGUGAAGAAGGGUUUCGGCUCGUAAAACUCUGUUGUUAAAGAAGAACAUAUCUGAGAGUAACUGUUCAGGUAUUGACGGUAUUUAACCAGAAAGCCACGGCUAACUACGUGCCAGCAGCCGCGGUAAUACGUAGGUGGCAAGCGUUGUCCGGAUUUAUUGGGCGUAAAGCGAGCGCAGGCGGUUUUUUAAGUCUGAUGUGAAAGCCUUCGGCUCAACCGAAGAAGUGCAUCGGAAACUGGGAAACUUGAGUGCAGAAGAGGACAGUGGAACUCCAUGUGUAGCGGUGAAAUGCGUAGAUAUAUGGAAGAACACCAGUGGCGAAGGCGGCUGUCUGGUCUGUAACUGACGCUGAGGCUCGAAAGUAUGGGUAGCAAACAGGAUUAGAUACCCUGGUAGUCCAUACCGUAAACGAUGAAUGCUAAGUGUUGGAGGGUUUCCGCCCUUCAGUGCUGCAGCUAACGCAUUAAGCAUUCCGCCUGGGGAGUACGGCCGCAAGGCUGAAACUCAAAGGAAUUGACGGGGGCCCGCACAAGCGGUGGAGCAUGUGGUUUAAUUCGAAGCUACGCGAAGAACCUUACCAGGUCUUGACAUACUAUGCAAAUCUAAGAGAUUAGACGUUCCCUUCGGGGACAUGGAUACAGGUGGUGCAUGGUUGUCGUCAGCUCGUGUCGUGAGAUGUUGGGUUAAGUCCCGCAACGAGCGCAACCCUUAUUAUCAGUUGCCAGCAUUAAGUUGGGCACUCUGGUGAGACUGCCGGUGACAAACCGGAGGAAGGUGGGGAUGACGUCAAAUCAUCAUGCCCCUUAUGACCUGGGCUACACACGUGCUACAAUGGAUGGUACAACGAGUUGCGAACUCGCGAGAGUAAGCUAAUCUCUUAAAGCCAUUCUCAGUUCGGAUUGUAGGCUGCAACUCGCCUACAUGAAGUCGGAAUCGCUAGUAAUCGCGGAUCAGCAUGCCGCGGUGAAUACGUUCCCGGGCCUUGUACACACCGCCCGUCACACCAUGAGAGUUUGUAACACCC